rnacentral:pre_miRNA from 1 species
UUAACUUAAAUUUGUAUGGAGUUGGAACGUUUGCCUACGUUUGCCGCUAGGGGCGCUGUUCCAACUCCAUACAAAUUUGACAUA